GUUUUACCUCACGCGCCAAAUAAGGCAGAAAAGCACUCCAGUUAAAGAAAUGCUGCAUGCUCAGUAGUGUUGGUACACACGUCUGUGGUUGAAUUAUGAGAGCAUUCACGUGAUCAGACACCUGACAGAUGCUUCUGAUCGGGCAUGACAAACAGCUCUCCCUCAGGGUCCUGUUGUUGGUAUCGGAUUCUGUGGGAGGCUGAAUCUUGCACCAUACUGGUAUUUAAGAGAAGAAGAAGAGCACACAGACUGCAAACAGACGGAGGUGGACGAGACCUCGGGCAACAAAUGGUGGAAUGCAACAGAUCAAGACAGAAACCGGCAGCCACCCACUCAUGAAAAAGUGGCUUUAGGUGUGAACACGGUGUGGUAGAAACUCUUUCGACUGGUAUGAGGUGUGUGCAUGUGAUGCCGUGCAAUUCUGCACGAUUGCUGAAAGCUGUUAUUAUGAUGCCAUGUCAAAGACUUAAAACGUGAUAAGA